CCUACGGGUGGCAGCAGUGGGGAAUAUUGCGCAAUGGGCGAAAGCCUGACGCAGCGACGCCGCGUGAGGGAUGAAGGUCUUCGGAUCGUAAACCUCUGUCAGCAGGGAAGAACGGUCACUGUGCUAAUCAGCAGUGAAUUGACGGUACCUGCAAAGGAAGCACCGGCCAACUCCGUGCCAGCCGCCGCGGAAAUCCGGAAGGUGCGAGCGUUAAUCGGAAUUACUGGGCGGAAAGCGCUCCGAAGCGGUAUGUCAAGGCAAGGGUGAAAGCCCCGGGCUCAAAGUGGGAAAUGCCUUUGAAACUGGCAAACUGGAGUGUGUGAGAGGGUAGCGGAAUUCCAGGUGUAGGAGUGAAAUCCGUAGAUAUCUGGAGGAACAUCAGUGGCGAAGGCGACUAUCUGGCACAUAACUGACGCUGAGGAGCGAAAGCGUGGGUAGCAAACAGGAUUAGAUACCCGUGUAGUC
rnacentral:rRNA from 1 species